GCAAUGAUGACCUUAUACAUUACUUGAUCAGCACUGAACUGAAACCAUAACAAUGUCCUCUAAGAAGUUCUGAGCUC
ensembl:snoRNA small nucleolar RNA SNORD61